UCACCAGCAAACCUGAGCUUUGCUGGAGUUAGCGUAGCCAGCAGCGAAGCGCUUUGUUGUGAGACGUCACCUUCGGGGCUGAGCAGAGGUGACUCCCCACAACAAACCGCGCGCCCGUGGCCAUCUGAGUCCAUGAGGUAUGAAGGAAAACAAUCAGAUUCAGAAUGAACUGAAAUUUCGAAUGACGUGUGCAGGCAGAAUAACGUGCGGAAGAGUCUUGAAUAUAAAAUCUUGAAAAAUCAGUCUCCGGAAUAAUUCAUGGGUUCAGUUUCUACAAGGGAAUCACAUGAGGAAAAAGUGAGAAAAAAACAAGUCAUUUUACCUUGAGAAAAACUCCCAGUACAGCCAAACCGUCGGGUGCUUUGGCAGCGUCAGCGAAAGUCUUGUACUUGGAGGUGUUCCAGUGAACGAGAUGAAGCUGGAAAGAGAAAAAGAAAAAAAAAAAAAAUAAGAUGACGAUGUUAUUUGAGGCGGUAAAAUUUUGGUGAGAGGAGUUGUUGGAUAAGCUAUGAACUCGGUCGAAAACAACCUGCAGAUGCUAGGCGUAUCAAGGCACGUCCUGGAUCAGCCUGCACCGCAUAACAUGACUCCUCGAGGUACGACCUCGUUCGUGAUUUGCCCCCGGGGCGUUCAAGAGUUGAGCCGAUCGUGGGGCGAAAGAGGCUAUACGGGACGAGUUUAACUCGGUUGUGCAGCGGUGGCAUGAUGAUUGUUGGUAAACU